GGGGCUGUGACUCAGCAGCAGAGAAUCUGCUUUGCGUGCAGGAGGCCCUGGGUUCAAUCCUUAGCAUCUCCA
rnacentral:tRNA from 1 species